rnacentral:misc_RNA from 1 species
UCAAAUUCUUGUACGGAAUGACCUGCGAACGCGUUCCAAAAAUGACAAGCGUUGUUGCGCCGCCCUCGCUCGGUGUGGGUCGGGGACUUGUUGCCCGACGCGUCGAGCAUAUGGAAAAGAAAAUCCGGCGCGGGAAGCGCCAAGGACUAUCGAAAUAGAGGAUGGCCUUCCGGGGGCAUCCUGGCCGCGGGGAUUGAAGGUGUCUCCAAAUGAAAAUGUUAUAUACACACACACACACAUAUAUAUAGAAGACAGUAGUACGACUCUCGGCAACGGAUAUCUAGGCUCUCGCAUCGAUGAAGAACGUAGCAAACUGCGAUAGUUGGUGUGAAUUGCAGAAUCCCGUGAACCAUGGAGUCUUUGAACGCAAGUUGCGCCCGAAGCCGUUAGGCAGAGGGCACGUCUGCCUGGGCGUCACGCAUUGCGUCGUCCCCCCUUCACCCCGUGUCCCCGAAAGGGUCGCGGGACUUUCGGGGGGGCGGAAGUUGGCUUCCCGUGCAGCGUUUGCGGCAAGCUUGAAAAUACGGUUCCCUCGGCGCGGACGUCGCGAGAAGUGGUGGUCGUGGAGAUUGUACGCGCGUUGCCGGCAAGCUGCGUCGAGGAGAGCAUUUGGACCCUGUGCGAGAAGUGCCCUUCAGCGAGGGGCAA